rnacentral:lncRNA from 1 species
UGGGUUACAUCGGUUUUACUCCUAAGUGUUAUUAGUCGACAUGUAUAAAUCGUGAUUUCUACAAUAGUUUAGCUCAAAUUCAUGGAUUAUUGUUAGAAUGUAAAAUCUGAACUUUCGAGCAUAUUUUAUCAAGUAAAUAUAUUAUACAUGUUGGACUUGGAAAUUGAAUUAGGAGAAAACCUGCGAUUUGGACCUGUCACCAGUUUUAACUACCUGAUUUAGCUCCAGGAGCCGUUAGAAAAUUGUACUGUCGCAGUUUCUUCGAGACGAGUACUCCAGGUAGUUUAGAAUGUAUUUACGCUCGUGCUGGUUUGCCGAGUGGAUUUUUACAGGGUUGUUCAGGUCGUUUCGGACUGUUGGGUGCUGUCAGAGUUGACGGUGGACCCGUAUCGCCUUUUUGGCGUCGGAUUGUGCCGAGGGCACGUUACCUGUUGGUUGUUAGACCAUUUUGAGCCGACUACUUGACUUUGGCUAGUUGGAGCCUGUUUGAGCUCGACAGAGAUACGCUGCAUACUCGGUUGGGUAGCGCCCACGAGUGCCACUCCGGAGUCAGGCUUGUGCGUUUGCGUUGGUGUCGCUCAUGCCAGUUGGACUUGCUCUCCACGGACCAGCUAGUGUGGAUAGAGCUUGAUAGUCGCAACGGGGCAGGGACGGGUGUGUUCACAGUCCCAGGGACGGGUAUGUCUACAGUCCCGAUUGGAUUGGGUCAGAUUUGACAUUUCCUACAGUUGGUUAGUGUAGAGCAUGAUAGUGUAGUGGAUGAUAGCGGUAGAAUAUGCUUCCUGCUUUCCUUCUAUCCUUGCUCCCUUCUGUAGACAUAGUGGGUGACCGAUGUUUGUUUUUAGCGGUGCCCACUGAGGACUACUUGUGUUUACAGUAGUUCUCACGCCCUGUUCUUUUACCGCUAUUUUGCAGAGCCGCAGGUACAGGCUGCUGCUUCCUCUGCUGAGCAGGAUCGUGGCAAGGGCGUCGCGAGCUAGAGCCCUACCAGACUGAUCGUGUUAGAGCCGUCCUCCCCUUACAGCAGGUAGUGAUUUUUCUUUUGGAGCUUUUGUACAUAGCAGUUGAACUCGCCAGUGCGAGUGGUUUUGUACUUGGGAUUUGUGACUAUGUAUAAAAAGCUCGUUCACUUUAGUUAUUUCUUCUGCUCUAUACUACUGUUUGUAGUAUUGAUGUUUCUACAGGUACCAGUGACGCUUCGUAUACAGGAAAAAUUUCUUGUAUAUGGCGGAUUUGUCGGCGUGCCCGGGGAACGAGACAUCCGGGGCGUGACAGAUUAAGUUGGUAUCAGAGCUUUGUUGUAGGUCGUGGGGACCUAGGAAACCUAAGUGUGGCAAACCUUAGGGAAGCAAGACGCGAGAGGCGUGAUAUUAAUUGCGAAAGUCAAUGAUUAUUUGUUCUAACUCCUCCUAGAGUGGGUUGAGUGACUGAAGGAGUACCUGUUUUGGCCUGAGAAAUUAUGUUGGCUGCAGACGACAUAAUUUUGGAGGAAAACAGGGACCGCCUUCUAGACUUUCGUUGAUUGGGUCGAGAGUGUUUUGUUGUAUCUAACCCCGAAUUGUUCCUUUCAGCUAUGUAUCGUCGUCGGGGUCGACCGUCGUUGCGGGAGCGCGCCCAGUUGGCGCGGGAUCAUGCUGGACCUUCUUAGAGAUCUGAGCGGAUGGAGCAGAGUACUCAGCAGGAGCAGGGUGACAGACUGGAGGCGAGUGUACCCCCUGUUGUGGAGCCGAGUGCGCGACCAGAGGCUAGCGCACCCCCUGAUCUGAGAGCACAGUUGGCCGCCCUGACUGAGGUGACGAGACAGCAGGGGGAGCUAUUGCAGAGGUUGUGUGAGAGGAUAGCUCAGCCACCGAGUUCUGUACCGAGGGCACCAGAGUCGCCAGUUCCACCCCCGACUACUCCAGUGACAGCACCAGCUGCAGCAGUCCCUCCAUCGGCAGCAGUUCCAGUAGCGCCUGUUGCGCCUGCUAGGGGGCCAGUACCGUUGACUGAGGCCGAGCAGGAGCGGUGGACGGAGAGAUUAGCUCGUUUUCGCCGUUUUGAUCCACCGAUCUUCGAUGGCAGAGGCACUGAGGCCUGGAUUGUAGAGGGAUGGGUCAGUGCGAUGGAGAAGCUAUUCGAGGAUCUGUUCGUUCCAGAGGGGGAGCAGGUACCCCUGGGAGUACACUGUCUAGCAGGUGAUGCUCAUGACUGGUGGCGGAGGACGAGGCGAGACCAGGGGCUAGUGGCGGCACAGCUGAGUUGGGAUGAGUUCUGUGGAAUGCUGUUUGGGAUGUUCUUUCCCAACAGUGUGAAGCAGAAGCUCGAGGAGGAUUUGAGGAGGCUUCAGCAGGGAGAUCGCCCAGUGCAGGAGUACGUUCGGGAGUUUACUCGACUCCUGAACUGUGUACCAUUUGUGGCCAGAGACGAGGCGCACCGAGUAUAUAUGUUCGAGCAGGGGCUGAGACCGGACAUCUUCAGGCUAGUGCGGGCGCAGAGGUCGAGGACCCUGGAUGCGUCUAUAGAGCAGGCCUUAUGGGUGGAGAGAGGUGAGGUGUCGCUGCAGGAGAGGACUCAGGCCGUGGGGCAGGGUCAGGACAGGAAGCGCCCCUUUCCAGAUGACGGAGGGCAGUCGAGUAGCAGACGUCCGCCGAGACCUCCACGAUCACGUUCUCAGGGUCGUGGGUCUUCGGGGCGUCAGCGUUCCAGGGGAUCCCGUCAGCAGGGGCAGACUCAGAGGACGCCACAGUGUGUGAUCUGCGGGGGACCACACUGGCCUCGGCAGUGCGAGCAUAGAGAGGGCAGGUGCUACGGAUGUGGUCAGCCGGGACACAUGAGGGCAGCGUGUCCCCGAGCAGCAUCUCCAGUACCGUCAUCAGCUUCGGCACCACCAGCACCACAGCAGUCUUACGGAGCAGCACCGGGCUAUCGCCAGGAGGACAGAUCGUCUGUGCCGCGGUCGGGUGAGCGGCGACAGCAGGCUCCGAGUGGCAGGGUCUAUGCAGCUCAGGUGGAGGACUCUUCAGCAGCCGACCGAGUGGUGGCAGGUAUCACUUUGAUUUCUGGCAUUAGAGUUCGCACUCUUUUUGAUACCGGUGCAUCACAUUCCUUUGUUAGCCGAGCAUUUGCAUUGUUGCAUGGUCUAGAGUUAGGAGCGUUGUCUCAGGCACGAGAGGUGCAGAUCCCCGACCAUGUCUUGCAGGUUACGGAGUGUUGUUGGUCCUGUCCGGUGCAGUUAGACUCGUGGGUCAUGCCCGCAGACCUGUUGGUGUUAGGGCAGCUGCAGGACUUCGACGUAGUGCUCGGUAUGGAUUGGCUGGCGCGGUACUAUGCUACGAUCGACUGUGGAGCGAGGACGGUGACGUUCCGCGAGCCAGGCCAGGAGGAGUUUACUUUCACUGGCUGCAGGAGUACGCUUUUUGCCACCUGGAUAUCUUCGGCGAGGGCUCGACAGAUGCUGAGUAGCGGGUGUAUCGCCUUCCUAGCGACUGUUGUGGAGGUACCUACGGCGGCGCCGAGACUCGAGGACAUCCCAGUAGUCCACGAGUUUUCGGAUGUGUUUCCCCCUGAGUUGACGACGUUGCCGCCGGAGAGGGAGAUUGAGUUUGUGAUUGAUGUAGUUCCUGGAACUGCACCAAUCUCAAAGGUACCUUACAGGAUGGCACCGGCAGAGCUGAGAGAGCUAAAGGCACAACUUCAGGAUCUGAUGGAUAGAGGGUUUGUGAGACCCAGUGUGUCGCCUUGGGGAGCGCCGGUGUUAUUUGUAAAGAAGAAGGAUGGUUCGCUCAGGUUAUGUGUGGAUUACCGGGAGCUGAAUAAAGUAACCAUCAAGAACAAGUAUCCUCUGCCGCGCAUUGAUGAUCUAUUCGAUCAGCUGCAAGGAUCUUGUGUCUUUUCGAAGAUUGAUCUCCAGUCAGGUUACCACCAGCUGAGGGUGAGGGCCGAGGAUGUUCCCAAGACGGCUUUUCGGACUCGGUACGGGCAUUAUGAGUUCACGGUGAUGCCUUUUGGAUUGACGAAUGCCCCUGCCGCAUUCAUGGAUUUGAUGAACAGAGUGUUCAAGCCGUUCUUGGAUAGGUUUGUGGUAGUCUUCAUCGACGAUAUCCUGAUUUACUCCCGGAGUGAUGCUGAGCAUGAGGAGCACUUGAGGAUUGUGCUACAACUUCUGCGUGAGAAGAAGUUGUAUGCCAAGUUAAAGAAGUGCGAAUUCUGGCUACGGGAGGUUGCCUUCUUGGGCCACGUGAUUUCAGCUGAGGGCGUAGCAGUGGACCCGAAGAAGAUUGAGGUGAUUCGGGAUUGGCCUAGACCGACGACGGUUACUGAGGUACGGAGCUUUCUGGGACUGGCAGGAUAUUACCGUCGGUUUGUGGAGGGCUUUGCGAAGCUUUCCACACCCCUCACGCGCUUGACGCGGAAGGGGAUUCGUUUUGUCUGGAGCGACGACUGUCAGAGGAGCUUUGAUGAGUUGAGAUUGAGGUUGAUGUCGGCUCCUAUCCUUGCCCUUCCUGUUAUGGGCGAAGGAUUUGUGAUCUACAGUGAUGCAUCGCACAGUGGACUUGGUUGCGUGUUGAUGCAGCAUGGUAGGGUGAUUGCUUAUGCUUCACGGCAAUUAAAGGAUUACGAGAAGAAUUACCCUACGCAUGACUUAGAGCUUGCCGCGGUAAUUUUUGCCUUGAAGUUGUGGCGGCAUUACUUGUAUGGCGAGCACUGCGAGGUUUUCACGGAUCAUAAAAGUCUCAAGUAUCUGUUCACGCAAAGAGAGCUGAAUCUGAGGCAGCGCCGGUGGUUGGAGUUACUGAAGGACUAUGACAUUAGUAUUCAGUAUCAUCCCGGCAAGGCGAAUGUCGUGGCAGAUGCGUUGAGCAGGAAAGCAGUGCAGAGCCUGAGUUUGAGGAUUACAGAGCAGAGACCCCUACUCGAGGAGCUUCAGCGGCUGGGACUCGAGGUGGUACCCCCUGGUGCGACAGCGAGGCUGACAUCUUUGGUAUUACAGCCCACUCUGUUGGAUAGGAUCCGAGAGAAACAGAGUGGAGACCCGUUCUUGUUGAGGGUUAGAGAGCAGCUGGACAGGGGGCAGGUCGAGGGUUAUGCUUUGGACAGUUCGGGAGUACUGCGGUACCGGGACCGACUGUGUGUGCCCGUGGAUUCUGAGAUUCGAGCUGACUUGUUGAGAGAGGCACAUUGUUCCCCUUAUACGGUUCAUCCUGGGGGAACCAAGAUGUAUAGAGAUUUGAAGGCACGAUUUUGGUGGCCUGGAAUGAAGAGGGACAUUGGCAGAUACGUGGCUCAGUGUUUGACUUGCCAACAGGUGAAGGCCGAGCAUCAGGUGCCUGCUGGCAAGCUUCAGAGUCUGUCAGUGCCCGAGUGGAAAUGGGAUCAGAUCACGAUGGAUUUUGUUGUUGGUUUGCCUAGAGCGCAGGGUGGCUAUGAUGCAAUUUGGGUGAUAGUGGACAGACUGACCAAGUCUGCCCACUUCCUGCCGGUUCUGACUACUUGGUCCAGAGAGAGGUUAGCGCAGCUGUACUUGGAUGAGAUUGUUAGGCUGCACGGCGUGCCUGUGUCGAUAGUUUCAGACAGGGACCCGAGGUUUGUAUCUCAGUUUUGGAGGAGUUUACAGACAGCCUUGGGCACUCAGUUGCAUUUCAGCACGGCCUUCCACCCACAGACAGAUGGUCAGUCAGAGCGGACCAUUCAGACUCUUGAGGACAUGCUGAGAGCGUGCGUCCUGGAUUUUGGAGGAGGGUGGCAUCGACAUGUGAAACUAGUCGAGUUUGCGUACAACAACAGCUAUCAAGCGAGCAUCCAGAUGGCUCCGUUUGAGGCGUUGUAUGGGCGCAGGUGUCGAUCCCCCUUGUUUUGGAGCGAUGUGGGUGAGAGGAGGACACUUGGACCAGAGAUUCUACAGGAGGCUGAGGAAAAAAUCAGAGUCGUUCGACGACAUCUUUUGACAGCCCAGAGCCGACAGAGGAGUUACGCCGAUACCCGGAGACGAGACUUAGAGUUUCAGGUUGGAGACCAUGUUUUUCUUAAAGUCUCGCCGUCCAGAGGGAUACGCAGAUUUGGAGUACGUGGAAAGCUCAGUCCGCGUUUUGUUGGGCCCUUUGAGGUAUUGGAGCGUAUUGGACCGGUCGCUUACAGGAUAGCGCUACCACCGCGACUUGCCGGCAUUCAUGAUGUGUUCCACGUCUCGGCUUUGAGGAAAUAUGUGUUUGAUCCCUCCCACGUGAUUGACUUCACUCCACUUGAGAUUGGUGAGGAUCUGAGAUACGAGGAGCGACCGUUGCGGAUUCUUGCUCGGGAGACGAAAGAAUUGCGCAAUCGGGUCAUCCCGUAUGUAAAGGUGCAGUGGAGCAAUCAUGAGGAGCGGGAGGCGACUUGGGAGCCCGAGACGGUGAUGAGGGAGGCCUACCCCUACUUGUUCGAGUCCUGAGUUGAGGUACGUUCCAGUUUCGCGGACGAAACUCUUUGUAGAGGGGGAGGGUGUGAGACCCAGUUUCUGUCAGUGGGGACUUGUCGACAGCUCUGGAGAGUGUCGAGACAAGCCCGAGUUGCGUUGGCGUCAAAUAGACGCGAAACGGACUCCGUUUGACGCGAGGGCAGCAUUCUGUGUGAAAAUCUGCGAAAUUGCAGGAUUUUUACUCUGUUGUACCGGUACAAGGUUUGUGCUGUACCGGUACAACCAUCAUGGAAGACGCUUGCUGUACCGGUACAAGGGUCCAUUUGUACCGGUACAGAGCGUGCGACAGAACUCAGAUGCUCUCGGGUUUGGCCUUGUACCGGUACAGCAAUCCGUGUACCGGUACAAGGGAGUUGGUGGAGGGCUAAAUCAGUAAAAUUCCACCUCGUUCAUGUCACCCUCUUUCCCUCUCUCUAUUUAUCUGUGGAUUGAGCUGAGAGAGAGAGUUUUCACCAUCUCCUCUCCCUCUCUCUCUCACUCUAGGCCGGUUGGGAGCACGGUUGAGGACUUCGUCGCCGACGUCGCGCCGCGAGCCGUUCGAGCGCACGUGUUGCCGGGGCACUGCGAGGAGGCCGGGCGAGGGUGCGUCUUCGCCGUUCCUGUCGCCGCACCGCCGUUCAUCGCUGUUGAGGUAGGUAAUUUGGUCGCAAUUACCUCGAGUACCUCAACCAUCUUCAAACCGAGCAAUGUGCUGAUUUUCACAGAUUUCCUGCGUCGACUGUUAGUAUUUCGGCUCGUUCUCCGCGUAGGAGCGUCGGAUCGCGACGAAACUUGGUUCAUUGGAUUCUAGACUGCGAGAGGAUUCCAUAGAGCCCUCAUUUGCAAUUUUUGGGCAAGGUUAGCUUGGUCGAAACUGAACUUUUCUCAGCUGCUGUGAACGGGGACUGAAUUGUGGACUUUUGUCGUUUUAGCUUGGCGUUGGCUUGGCGACCGGACUUAGAGAUCCCCGAUUGGUCCAGCAGAGUUCCUUCUAGGCCGAGGCUUCGUUUGCUGCCAGGAGAUAGCACUUUAGGUGGGUUACAUCGGUUUUACUCCUAAGUGUUAUUAGUCGACAUGUAUAAAUCGUGAUUUCUACAAUAGUUUAGCUCAAAUUCAUGGAUUAUUGUUAGAAUGUAAAAUCUGAACUUUCGAGCAUAUUUUAUCAAGUAAAUAUAUUAUACAUGUUGGACUUGGAAAUUGAAUUAGGAGAAAACCUGCGAUUUGGACCUGUCACCAGUUUUAACUACCUGAUUUAGCUCCAGGAGCCGUUAGAAAAUUGUACUGUCGCAGUUUCUUCGAGACGAGUACUCCAGGUAGUUUAGAAUGUAUUUACGCUCGUGCUGGUUUGCCGAGUGGAUUUUUACAGGGUUGUUCAGGUCGUUUCGGACUGUUGGGUGCUGUCAGAGUUGACGGUGGACCCGUAUCGCCUUUUUGGCGUCGGAUUGUGCCGACGAGGGCACGUUACCUGUUGGUUGUUAGACCAUUUUGAGCCGACUACUUGACUUUGGCUAGUUGGAGCCUGUUUGAGCUCGACAGAGAUACGCUGCAUACUCGGUUGGGUAGCGCCCACGAGUGCCACUCCGGAGUCAGGCUUGUGCGUUUGCGUUGGUGUCGCUCAUGCCAGUUGGACUUGCUCUCCACGGACCAGCUAGUGUGGAUAGAGCUUGAUAGUCGCAACGGGGCAGGGACGGGUGUGUUCACAGUCCCAGGGACGGGUAUGUCUACAGUCCCGAUUGGAUUGGGUCAGAUUUGACAUUUCCUACAGUUGGUUAGUGUAGAGCAUGAUAGUGUAGUGGAUGAUAGCGGUAGAAUAUGCUUCCUGCUUUCCUUCUAUCCUUGCUCCCUUCUGUAGACUUAGUGGGUGACCGAUGUUUGUUUUUAGCGGUGCCCACUGAGGACUACUUGUGUUUACAGUAGUUCUCACGCCCUGUUCUUUUACCGCUAUUUUGCAGAGCCGCAGGUACAGGCUGCUGCUUCCUCUGCUGAGCAGGAUCGUGGCAAGGGCGUCGCGAGCUAGAGCCCUACCAGACUGAUCGUGUUAGAGCCGUCCUCCCCUUACAGCAGGUAGUGAUUUUUCUUUUGGAGC